rnacentral:rRNA from 1 species
UACGUAGGGGGCUAGCGUUGUCCGGAUUUAUUGGGCGUAAAGAGCGUGUAGGCGGCCAGGUAGGUCUGCUGUGAAAACUCGAGGCUCAACUUCGAGCUGUCGGCGGAAACUAUCUGGCUAGAGUCCGGAAGAGGAGAGUAGAAUUCCUGGUGUAGCGGUGAAAUGCGCAGAUAUCAGGAAGAAUACCCGUGGCGAAGGCGGCUCUCUGGGACGGUACUGACGCUGAGACGCGAAAGCGUGGGGAGCGAACAGG